ensembl:snRNA U6 U6 spliceosomal RNA
UUGCUCCCUUCAGCAGUACAUACACUAAAAUUGGAACAAUACAGAGAAGAUUAACAUGGCCCCUGUGAAAGGAUGACAUGCAAAUUUGUGAAGUGUUCCAUAUUAAA